GCUGGGUGUGGUGGUGAUCACCUGUAAUCCCAGCUACUCGGGAGGCUGAGGCAGGAGAAUUGCUUGAGCCCUGGAAGCGGUGGGUGCAGUGAGCCAAGAUCACGCCACUGCACUCCAGCCUGGGCGACAGAGUGAGACUCUGUCUCAG
rfam:Homo sapiens chromosome 18, GRCh38 reference primary assembly.